rnacentral:rRNA from 1 species
GUCAGCGGCAAUAGCCCGUUAAAUGUAUUCAGUUCCCCACGGAUCACUGAGGUUAAGAAACGCUGCACGUGGUUGGUUCCGGAUAUGUGACCAUUUGGCAAUCGCGUGCUGCUGGCU